rnacentral:rRNA from 1 species
GUAGUCUGCAACCCGACUACAUGAAGCUGGAAUCGCUAGUAAUCGCGAAUCAGCAUGUCGCGGUGAAUACGUUCCCGGGUCUUGUACACACCGCCCGUCACACCAUGGGAGUUGGAAAUGCCCGAAGUCAGUGACCCAACCGAAAGGAGGGAGCUGCCGAAGGCAGGUUCGAUAACUGGGGUGAAGUCGUAACAAGGUAAC